rnacentral:rRNA from 1 species
GAUGAACGCUAGCGGGAGGCCUAACACAUGCAAGCCGAGCGGUAUUGUUUCUUCGGAAAUGAGAGAGCGGCGUACGGGUGCGUAACACGUGUGCAACCUGCCUUUAUCUGGGGGAUAGCCUUUCGAAAGGAAGAUUAAUACUCCAUAAUAUAUUGAACGGCAUCGUUUAAUAUUGAAAGCUCCGGCGGAUAGAGAUGGGCACGCGCAAGAUUAGCUAGUUGGUGAGGUAACGGCUCACCAAGGCGAUGAUCUUUAGGGGGCCUGAGAGGGUGAUCCCCCACACUGGUACUGAGACACGGACCAGACUCCCACGGGAGGCAGCAGUGAGGAAUAUUGGUCAAUGGGUGCAAGCCUGAACCAGCCAUCCCGCGUGAAGGACGACUGCCCUAUGGGUUGUAAACUUCUUUUGUAUAGGGAUAAACCUACCCUCGAGAGGGUAGCUGAAGGUACUAUACGAAUAAGCACCAGCUAACUCCGUG